UCCCGGACUCCCGGGGGCCAUUUGCAAUAAUCCUGAACGACCCGCGCGGCAGGCGUUUGCCUUCCCCGCCCGGGGUCGUUCCGUGAUUUUUAUUUUUUGUUUUUGUUUUUUUUUUAAUUAUUAUUAUUAUUAUUUUUAUUUUAACUUUUUUUUGUUAUUGUUGUCGUUGCUCCCCGUCGUGACUGUAUGAAGCAGUUUAAAAUGUGAAUCUCGAAAGCUGGAAGGCAGCUGGACUUAUAAUUGUAAAGCGUGAUGGGUGAAUGGAGUCUGAGGCGCAUUGUUCACAUAAGGUAGCUGAAACAAGUUUGUUUGGUUGGUUUUUUUUUUUUCCUUAAAAAAAAAAAAGGGAAAAAAAACAACCCCUCCCCGCCUGCCCGCCCAACAAACUCAAUGGCUCAACUACAAGAUGCAGCUGUUGAUUAAAUAUGCACUUCGUACCGGAGUGUUUGAAAUGUGUUCCUGAUUUGCAGGACUUAACUGUCUUAAUUAACCUGUCUGUACUGAAUAAACGUGGUCUUGUUUUUAUUUUGAGGUCUGUGUCUCAUUGUUAAGGGGAAGUGAAUUUUGGUUCAUGUGAGCGCAGCUACGCAGACGAUGCUCUAAUAGAAACAUUACCCCGUGAUCUUCUUUCAGUUGCGAGAUCUCCAUUUUGCAGACAAAAAACCCCCCACAACAAUCCGCAUAGUCUGAUGCAGUGGGACACCGGUUAUUAAUGCACGGAGAUGCAACUGAGCCCCUUUGUUUGCCAGCAGCGUUUGCUCGUAAGCCACGAGACGCCCCUUUUAGCAGCCCAGAAUGUGGCUACUGGAAUUUGGGCUGUGGAUGUCAAGUACCCCUGAAAUCUGCUUACCUCAGUAGGGAUCUGGAGAGAUUUCCUUUAGGGUGAGGAAAAAGAAAAGAGAAGAAAAACUCAUCCCAGAAGUAAAUUGUGAAAAAUAUCUAAUUGUUUUAGAUUGUGUCUGUUUGGGGAAAUUAUAUUACAGACUGCUCUUUGCCUUUAAAUUUACCAAGCACAAUCACCUGGAAAACUAAACUGUAUUAUCCAGGAGGCACUACUUUUAAAUGUGUGACUUUUAGAAAGCUGUAAAUUGGAGGGAAGGGAUUAACUUGGAUGUUAAAACCGGAUAGAAAGAGUAAAAUUUUUCAGUGGGUGAUUUCAACUUUACAAGUAGCCCACUUCAAUUUAUUUGAACUUGCAUGACAGCAGAGAUUAAUGAAUUGAAACCAAAGGUGAUCUUUCAUUAGGGACAGUUCCACAUAAUUCAAUCUUUAACACUCUAGGAAUUGUCAUACUGGAUAAGACCUGAGCUCUAGGCAGUUUAAGAUGUGGUCUCUGAUGCUGGUCAGCUGCUUCACACCAGCUGCUGCGUGGUAGAACAGCCCCAUUAGUUCUCAUCCUCACGUCAAGCUGUUUGACUUCCUCUUGGUUACGUAGCUUAAUAUCCCUUUCAUAUUAUUGAGUUUUGAAUCUUUAGUCAUGGUUACAGGUGAUUUUCUUGAUAGCUGUGCAGGACUGUGGGGGUGGUCCAGUGCUUUUGGCAGCAGGAGACCCGACCUGCUGUGAUCGCUUAGCCCAUCCUGCUAUGCUUGUACACAAAGCUGGCUCCUGCAGAGGGCAGCUGGAGGGUGUUCAGGAUGGGCAGAAGGGCAAGGCUGCCCCUGUAAGAAGCAAAAAGUCUAGCAAGCCAGGAACUGUCUGCUGGCUGUGGCUGUCAGAUGCUCCUGAUUGAUAGCUAUGUCGACUUCUGGGUGCUAACGCCAGAAGCGGACAGUGAAAGAGCAAGGAUGACUGUUGCCCAUGGAAGCUGCCCACAGAGAGGUGCACGGGACUAGAAGCUGGGCUCCCUGAGAAGAGAUUCUUCAGGAAAUAUUGGCGCUGACCGGAA
rnacentral:lncRNA from 1 species